UACGUAGGGUGCAAGCGUUAUCCGGAAUUAUUGGGCGUAAAGAGCUCGUAGGCGGUUUGUCGCGUCUGCUGUGAAAACCGGAGGCUCAACCUCCGGCCUGCAGUGGGUACGGGCAAACUAGAGUGCGGUAGGGGAGAUUGGAAUUCCUGGUGUAGCGGUGAAAUGCGCAGAUAUCAGGAGGAACACCGGUGGCGAAGGCGGGUCUCUGGGCCGUAACUGACGCUGAGGCGCGAAAGCUAGGGGAGCAAACGGG
rnacentral:rRNA from 1 species